rnacentral:lncRNA from 1 species
UUUCUUUCUCUCUUCUCUCUUUUUUUUUCCUCCAACUAGAUAACAAUUAAUCAAGUAUACAUAUUACAACAUAACAAUCUAAGGUCAAAGAUCUACUCCACUUUAUACUCCGAUAAAAUUUCACUUGUUGAAAUCAAAGAUAUAAGUAUCAUACCUGCACACUGGUACUAGUCCCCACCUUACUUGCUUGUACAUCAGUAAAUAAUUGUCACCCC